GACGAACGCUGGCGGCGUGCCUAAUACAUGCAAGUCGAGCGAAGUUUUUCUGGUGCUUGCACUAGAAACACUUAGCGGCGAACGGGUGAGUAACACGUAAAGAACCUGCCUCAUAGACUGGGACAACUAUUGGAAACGAUAGCUAAUACCGGAUAACAGUAUUUCUCGCAUGAGAGAUAUUUAAAAGUUGGUUAUGCUAACACUAUGAGAUGGCUUUGCGGUGCAUUAGCUAGUUGGUGGGGUAAAGGCCCACCAAGGCGACGAUGCAUAGCCGACCUGAGAGGGUGAUCGGCCACACUGGGACUGAGACACGGCCCAGACUCCUACGGGAGGCAGCAGUAGGGAAUCUUCCGCAAUGGGCGAAAGCCUGACGGAGCAACGCCGCGUGAGUGAAGAAGGAUUUCGGUUCGUAAAGCUCUGUUGUUAGGGAAGAAUGGAUAUGUAGUAACUAUACAUGUAAGAGACGGUACCUAACCAGAAAGCCACGGCCAACUACGUG
rnacentral:rRNA from 1 species